rnacentral:rRNA from 1 species
AGGACGAACGCUGGCGGCGUGCUUAACACAUGCAAGUCGAACGGAACACCCUUGACAGAGGUUUCGGCCAAUGAAGAGGAAUGUUUAGUGGCGGACUGGUGAGUAACGCGUGAGGAACCUGCCUUUCAGAGGGGGACAACAGUUGGAAACGACUGCUAAUACCGCAUGAAGCAACGAGGGGACAUCCCCUUGCUGUCAAAGAUUUAUCGCUGAAAGAUGGCCUCGCGUCUGAUUAGCUAGUUGGUGGGGUAACGGCCCACCAAGGCGACGAUCAGUAGCCGGACUGAGAGGUUGACCGGCCACAUUGGGACUGAGAUACGGCCCAGACUCCUACGGGAGGCAGCAGUGGGGAAUAUUGGGCAAUGGGAACCGCAAGUCUGACCCAGCAACGCCGCGUGAAGGAAGAAGGCUUUCGGGUUGUAAACUUCUUUUAACAGGGAAGAGAAGAAGACGGUACCUGUUGAAUAAGCCACGGCUAACUACGUGCCAGCCGCCGC